CGGACGGGUGAGUAAUGUCUGGGAAACUGCCUGAUGGAGGGGGGUAACUACUGGAAAUGGUAGCUAAUACCGCAUAACGUCGCAAGACCAAAGAGGGGGACCUUCGGGCCUCUUGCCAUCGGAUGUGCCCAGAUGGGAUUAGCUAGUAGGUGGGGUAACGGCUCACCUAGGCGACGAUCCCUAGCUGGUCUGAGAGGAUGACCAGCCACACUGGAACUGAGACACGGUCCAG
rnacentral:rRNA from 1 species